AUCAACAAGCAGUGAUGUUCCUAACUAGUAUUAUUUUGAAGACAAAUGCAAAUGUUGUACCUAUUAUUUUGGAGCUACCUUAUGCAAAAGAAAGGCAAGCAUUGGACAACGCAUGUGAACAUCGUACAGAGUAUGCGAUAUUGAAUGUAGAGGACCAAGGAGGGACAUCUUUUUGCUUUUGCAGUUCCUUUAAACUUUUUGGCAUAAUU